AUGAACGCUGGCGGCGUGCCUAAUACAUGCAAGUCGAGCGAACAGACGAGGAGCUUGCUCCUCUGACGUUAGCGGCGGACGGGUGAGUAACACGUGGAUAACCUACCUAUAAGACUGGGAUAACUUCGGGAAACCGGAGCUAAUACCGGAUAAUAUAUUGAACCGCAUGGUUCAAUAGUGAAAGACGGUUUUGCUGUCACUUAUAGAUGGAUCCGCGCCGCAUUAGCUAGUUGGUAAGGUAACGGCUUACCAAGGCGACGAUGCGUAGCCGACCUGAGAGGGUGAGCGGCCACACUGGAACUGAGACACGGUCCAGACUCCUACGGGAGGCAGCAGUAGGGAAUCUUCCGCAAUGGGCGAAAGCCUGACGGAGCAACGCCGCGUGAGUGAUGAAGGUCUUCGGAUCGUAAAACUCUGUUAUUAGGGAAGAACAAAUGUGUAAGUAACUAUGCACGUCUUGACGGUACCUAAUCAGAAAGCCACGGCUAACUACGUG
rnacentral:rRNA from 1 species